AGCUCCUCGUUUUGACGCUGCCAUCGCGCUUACCUGUCCCUGCAGCGCCACCUCUGUGCCGUCAGGAAUACAGCCGAUUCUUGUAGCACCGCGGAAGAAGGCAUAGAAAAUGGACAAUUGACAAAUAUGGAGCUGAAACAUUUUCUUUCACUUUCACUUUCCAUCAUCUGGAAGGAGCAAGAAAGGGAACUAAAUUUUUGGAGUGGCUCUUCUAAGAACCAGGUUUGGUGGCUGAGAAAUCCCAGAUCAAGAUGCUGGCAGUGGCAGUGUUAGUAUCUAGUGAAGAUCCACUUCCUGGUGUCACCUUUUUGCUGUGUCCUCACAUGGUGGGAGAGUGUUUUCCAGAGAACUUCUUAGCAAGAAUGGCUGCUGUGUCCUUCUCUGUUGGUGCCAUACCCCUGUUCCUGCUCCAUCACCAUCGUUCCCUUCUGGAAAAGUUUAGAAGCUCCUCCCCUCUUUUUAGGUGGGGAAACAUGGGUUGAGUUGCCUUAGCAGCACCUCACACUGUAAUUAAACACUCUCAUUUUAUAGAUGACAAAAUGGAGGUCCAGAGAUGGAGUUUCCUGGCUCCUAGCUCAGUGCUCUUUAAGCUACACUCUAAUGGAAGCAUCUCCACACAGUCUGUGAGCUUAGUAAUCAUGGGCUGUGGCGUAGAAAAGAAGAGUUGUGGAGUUAGAAGCACUUUUCUCUCACUAGUUUUUCAGAUUCCAUACCUGUUAAAAAGGUCAAUCCGUAUGUGGGUCAGUGAUUUUCCACUUUUGUUUAAAUAAAUGAGGAAUGUGAGA